rnacentral:tRNA from 1 species
UCAGCAAAGUUCUAGCGGUCAGGAUUCCUUGCUUUCAACCAGGCGGCCCGGGUUCGACUCCCGGUUGGGGAG